GUUUAGUAGCCAGGGAGAAAGUAUGAAGGGUAGGAAAGUUCAUAAAUGUUAUUAUUUUAUUCUGUCAGUUGGAUUGUUUAUUGCACAGUGUGGAUAGUAGGGAUUUUCCUAUUUUGUGAAAUCAACAUGCAUGUUGCUAUUACAUUUUGUUUGACCAACAAGGUUGAGGAAGCGAUCAGUUCAAAUAAAUCAAUUAGAGGGCUUGGGAGAGCAUGAACCAAUUUCAGAAGUGCAUAAACCUGUUCCGAAAACAGUUGCACUUUAG